rnacentral:rRNA from 1 species
CGCGCAGGUGGUUUCUUAAGUCUGAUGUGAAAGCCCACGGCUCAACCGUGGAGGGUCAUUGGAAACUGGGAGACUUGAGUGCAGAAGAGGAUAGUGGAAUUCCAUGUGUAGCGGUGAAAUGCGUAGAUAUAUGGAGGAACACCGGUGGCGAAAGCGGCUCUCUGGUCUGUAACUGACACUGAGGCUCGAAAGCGUGGGAGCAAACA